GAAACAAAGAGAACCAAGAGAGCUCUGGUUUUACACUUUAAGAUGUCAUUUUCAACGAUUGAGUGACCAGCUGGGAUCGCUUCCCAAAAGAAAAGGAUUUAAAGAGAAUUUUUAAGGAAGGAAGAAGAGUGAUUAUAUCCUGGGAAACAGAAAAUACCUUUGAGUUUUCUACAGUCAGCACCUCUCAAAUUUCUACUCUGUUUCUGAAUGAAUUGGCUUUCCAUGGAAAAUAUCAUACUGAUUUUUCUUCUUAGUUAAUCUUCUGUAUUUUUUAUCCCUAUAAUAUACUUAAUUUAAAACAUUUCCUUGUUGUUUCACUUCAUUUAUUUGGCAUAAUAGAAAUAAAACUUGUAUUUAGUAUAUGUUACAAUGAAGAAAUAGCUCCCAGCUUUACAAUAAAACCAGAGGUGUUUAUUAUGUAACAGUAGCUCUUUGUUUCACUACAACUUGCAUUCAAAAUGUCCAUGGUUUAUUUAUUAGAAUAUGAUAUUAUCAGCUCCAUGUUACUUGCAACCUGAAAAUAUAUCCAGAGCCUCAACUCAGUUAUGACUUGAAAUAUGUGUUAGAAUAAUAGAUUGCUAUUGGAAGGGAUGAUUCUAUUUUCUGAUGGCUUUGUCACAUGUUUCAAUUCUGUACAUCUUACAUCCACAGUAAACCGGAGACUUUCAUUUGUUUUCAAUCUGUAAAAAAGAAAGUGAAAAAGAAAGAGAAAAAG